rnacentral:rRNA from 1 species
UACGUAGGGUCCAAGCGUUAUCCGGAAUCACUGGGCGUAAAGCGUGCGUAGGUGGUUCGUUAAGUCUGAUGUGAAAGCCCUGGGCUCAACCUGGGAAUGGCAUUGGAUACUGGCGACCUAGAGUGCGGUAGAGGGGUGUGGAAUUCCCGGUGUAGCAGUGAAAUGCGUAGAUAUCGGGAGGAACAUCUGUGGCGAAGGCGACACCCUGGACCAGCACUGACACUGAGGCACGAAAGCGUGGGGAGCAAACAGG